rnacentral:lncRNA from 1 species
UUUCAUCUUCAUCCUUUUUUUUAUAUAAUUUUUUAUCUUUAUUUUUUUUCUGUUUUUUUUUUGUCACCCUCUCUGUCAAUAGCCACGGUGUCGGUGACGACGCCGCUAAAGACCCCCCACUCCGAGGCUGCAGCGCCGCAGUGAUCUCCACGGUGUCGGCGUCGGUGUCGGCGAAGAUGCAUCGUCGUCGGAGGCAGCAGAGAAGGAGGGAGAAGGAGAGACGGGAAGGGCAGGGAAGAGCGAGAGAGGCGCCGUCGUCGAAAACUGUGGAGGAGAGUCAGAGAAGAAAAGAAAAGAAAAAUGCAAAAAAAAAAAGUCACAGUCCGGCCUUAGGGGGAUCGGAGGCGAGGAAGGUGGGGGCGCCGGUGGCGACGCCGCUUUGUCUUCACCGCUCUUUGGGAAGAGAAAGAAAAAAAAGAAUGAGAGAAAAAAGAGAAAAGAAAAAGGUAUAAGGGCACCUCCGCUCCGUUUUCGCCGCUCUCUGGGAAGAAAAAGAAAAAAGAACGAGAGAAAAAAAAGAGGAGAGAGAAAGAGGAAAGAGAAAAAGGUAUAAGGAUAUUUUGGUCAGUUUGCUGAAAAAGCGGACCGAAUCUGCAAAAGCCAAAAAGAUGGCCCGAUUUUGCAAAAGCCCAAAAUAAGUGGAUUUUUUAUGCAAAUUGGCCAAAAAAGAUUGAUUCAAAGGCCAAAAAGUUAGAAACACCAACUCACUUGUACUUUCCAAAAAGUAUAAUAACCGUACUAUUAUAAAAAAUACUAUCAAUACACCCUAUAAGGCUUAGUUUGGUAUUGAAGCCUAUCAAAGGCUAUUAGAUAAAAUGGAGUUGAGAAAAAAACAUAUAGGGAUAUGCUUUUACAUUUUCCGGUGGGACCGCAGAAAAUAUAUCGUAACUGACUCAUUGCGAUAUAGGGAACGCAAUAUUACGUACGGAAACAAACAUGGUACUUUUCCGACGUAGUUUCUCACCACACGAAACGUUAUCUCCCCGCAAUUCCAAACGAAGCCUAAGUAAGAUGUAAAUCUUAUUUAAAGACAUAAAGAUUUAUUUUUAAUUUUGUAGUAUUCCAAAAGAAAUAGAUAAAAUUAGUAAAAGUGUUAUUAGUCUUUCAAUGGUUAGGUUAUAAAAUUUACUCUAUUUUAUAGGUGUACCAAUAGAAUUAUUUGUCAUGGGCAUUACCAAAUUAAUAAUAUUGAAGAGUUUUUUUUUUUUUUUUUUAAAUCCAUGGUCACAACCUUUUUAUAAAACCAUAAGUCAACUUUGGGUGAUGUAUGUCCCAUUGUCAUCGAAUUGAGGAGAGGAAAAUUAUGACUUUUUAUUUUGUUUAAGACAUCAAAUGAAACACAAUACAUAGAAGGACCGCAGAAAAUUAUGACUUUUUAUUUUCCGGUGGGACCGCAGAAAAUAUAUCGUAACUGACUCAUUGCGAUAUACGGAACGCAAUAUUACGUACGGAAACAAACAUGGUACUUUUCCGACGUACUUUCUCACCACACGGAACGUUAUCUCCCCGCAAUUCCAAACGAAGCCUAAGUAAGAUGUAAAUCUUAUUUAAGGACAUAAAAAUUUAUUUUUUAUUUUGUAGUACUCCAAAAGAAAUAGAUAAAAUUAGUAAAAGUGUUAUUAGUCUUUCAAUGGUUAGGUUAUAAAAUUU